rnacentral:rRNA from 1 species
GGACUCAUAUUGAAACCUAGUGAUGUAUGAGUUAGUGGCGGACGGGUGAGUAACGCGUGGAGAACCUGCCGUAUACUGGGGGAUAACACUUAGAAAUAGGUGCUAAUACCGCAUAAGCGCACAGCUUCGCAUGAAGCAGUGUGAAAAACUCCGGUGGUAUACGAUGGAUCCGCGUCUGAUUAGCUUGUUGGCGGGGUAAAGGCCCACCAAGGCGACGAUCAGUAGCCGGCCUGAGAGGGUGAACGGCCACAUUGGGACUGAGACACGGCCCAAACUCCUACGGGAGGCAGCAGUGGGGAAUAUUGCACAAUGGGGGAAACCCUGAUGCAGCGACGCCGCGUGAGUGAAGAAGUAUUUCGGUACGUAAAGCUCUAUCAGCAGGGAAGAAAAUGACGGUACCUGACUAAGAAGCCCCGGCUAACUACGUGCCAGCAGCCGCGGUAAUACGUAGGGGGCAAGCGUUAUCCGGAUUUACUGGGUGUAAAGGGAGCGUAGACGGCAGCGCAAGUCUGGAGUGAAAUCCCAUGGCUUAACCAUGGAACUGCUUUGGAAACUGUGCAGCUGGAGUGCAGGAGAGGUAAGCGGAAUUCCUAGUGUAGCGGUGAAAUGCGUAGAUAUUAGGAGGAACACCAGUGGCGAAGGCGGCUUACUGGACUGUAACUGACGUUGAGGCUCGAAAGCGUGGGGAGCAAACAGGAUUAGAUACCCUGGUAGUCCACGCU